rnacentral:rRNA from 1 species
AGUUUGAUCCUGGCUCAAGACGAACGCUGGCGGCGUGCUUAACACAUGCAAGUCGAGCGGAAAGGCCCUUCGGGGUACUCGAGCGGCGAACGGGUGAGUAACACGUGAGUAACCUGCCCCAGACUUUGGGAUAACCCCCGGAAACGGGGGCUAAUACCGAAUAUGACUUCUGAUCGCAUGGUCGGUGGUGGAAAGUUUUUCGGUUUGGGAUGGACUCGCGGCCUAUCAGCUUGUUGGUGGGGUAAUGGCCUACCAAGGCGACGACGGGUAGCCGGCCUGAGAGGGCGACCGGCCACGCUGGGACUGAGACACGGCCCAUACUCCUACGGGAGGCAGCAGUGGGGAAUAUUGCACAAUGGGCGGAAGCCUGAUGCAGCGACGCCGCGUGAGGGAUGACGGCCUUCGGGUUGUAAACCUCUUUCAGCAGGGACGAAGCGCAAGUGACGGUACCUGCAAAAGAAGCGCCGGCCAACUACGUGCCAGCAGCCGCGGUAAGACGUAGGGCGCGAGCGUUGUCCGGAUUUAUUGGGCGUAAAGAGCUCGUAGGCGGCUUGUCGCGUCGACUGUGAAAUCUCAGGGCUCAACUCUGACAUUGCAGUCGAUACGGGCAGGCUAGAGUUCGGGUAGGGGGAGACUGGUAUUUCCUGGUGUAGCGGUGAAAUGCACA